rnacentral:rRNA from 1 species
UACGUAGGUGGCAAGCGUUGUCCGGAUUUACUGGGCGUAAAGAGCGCGCAGGCGGUCGCUCAAGUCGCGUGUGAAAGCCCCCCGGCUCAACUGGGGAGGGUCACGCGAUACUGAUCGACUGGAAGGCAGGAGAGGGUAGUGGAAUUCCCGGUGUAGUGGUGAAAUGCGUAGAUAUCGGGAGGAACACCAGUGGCGAAGGCGACUACCUGGCCUGUUCUUGACGCUGAGGCGCGAAAGCUAGGGGAGCAAACGGGG